CACGGUCCCGCCUUAGAGAAGCGGCGGCAGGAGGCACCGGGUGGGCUGUGCCGAGCCCCGGGCGGGGGCAGAGGAGCGGAGCGCCCAGCAGCGGCCGCGGCCCCGGCCCGGCUGGAGCGGAGCGGAGCGGAGGGCCAGCAGCCCGCGGGCAGGGUCGCGCUCCCCGAUGACAGCGGCAGCCCUCGGGCCGCCGCCUCCACACAACUGCGAACCCCGCGCAGGCGCCGUUGCGUGGCGACGGCUGAGCCCGCGCAUGCGCGACUCCGGCCGGGUCGGGUGCGUUAUGGAGGCGCUUAAAUAUGAAGCGGGACGGCGGCGUACGCGCCUUCGGGAGAUCUUAGAAGAAAGGCAGGAUUUAAUUUACAAGAUGGCAAUAUAGAGUAAUCACAAUCCAUCUCUACGCACUUUCCAGGAGGAGGUAUUUCUGCUGAAGUCCUUUUUCAAGUGGACACAUGCUCAGUCACAAAAACUUUUGGUUUUUACAGGUGGAGAGCUGGAGCUGUGAUGGUGCUUCUGGUGUGCCACAUCUGGAGGCCUGUACAGUCGAUUUCAGUUUGUGGCCAUUACUUCUCAGCCUGUCACUGGAUGCCAAAAGGCUGCUGUUCUUCUUUACUCCUCCCUUCCUCCCUAAUCAAUAAGAUUCUCCCCGGAGCCUUCCCAAAUGAAAUUCAUUACAAAAAGCUCUUUACUACCUUGAAGCCUCUCCUGUUCUCAUACCAAGAAGCAACAGACAAACGGUUUCAUUGCUUGUGACUCAUUUUUCUUUCCAGUCUAUUGAUCGUCCUGAAAAAUGCUGAAUGUCCAGAAUCCAACCGCAUGAAGAUUUUACAUACCAGUUCAAUGUGAAGUGUAUCAGUGAUUUCAGUGAUGUUAGUAAAAUUAUUUGAGCUAUGGUGCUUUGUUGGGUCAGAGCUGUGGCUGGGUGUGGUUGGGUUUGGUGCAUCCUCAUAGUUGAUGUAACACAUCGGAUAUUCUGAGUCUACAGUGCUUGUAUCAUACCCCUGCCCAGAGGUGUUAACGAGCACAGAUAAUUUGUGGGAAACAUUCUGCUGGAGAGGUAUGGGGACCUUACUCAUUCCAGCGACGGACCACCUUAGCAAAUUACAGAGUAGGCAGAAAGUUAAUGAUGUAUUUAUUAUUUGGUUUGUUGGCUGCUGAAAUGCAUGGUGUUUGUGCUUAGAGUUUGUGUCAGCUGUUUUUCACAUGAUGAUAAACUUGAAUUUGGAACAGGCUUAGACAUAAUUUUCAGUUGCUAUUGAGGGAGAGAACCGUAUUAGUUCCCAGCAAAGUGCCCUGAAAGCUUCAGCUGGUAAAUGGUUUUUCUAUGAGCCUCACAUACUGAUUACUAGUUUUCUUUUUAAAGUUCAGACUAGCUUAAAUUUCUUGAAGGGCUGAGACUUUCUAAAAUUAUUUUGCACACUUAACGUUUAAAAUCAAACCAGCAUCAGACAAAAAGAAACUGAUCCCAAAUCAAAACACAAAUUCAAGUUAUUUGCUUGGGUAUUGCAUAGUCUACGAUCAGGCUGCUAAGCAGCCAGAUUUCAUCAGCUUAUGUGUUGUCAUAGAGUUUACUGCUGCUUCUUAUGUCGUUUGCCUUUAUUGGGAGUUUACAGUACUGUUGCUCCUAAGCAGAGCUCUCAUUCUCAAUUAUGUGAAGAACAGGUGCAAUUUAUUGUUUGAAUAAAUUUGGUAUCUUUGAAACGCCAUUUUGGUUUUACAGCCCAGGUAUUCACUACUAUACAUAACUGUAAAGGGUGUUCACCUGGAGAGGAGGCGGAACAUUAUUUCAGUAUGUUUUUGCCAAGUGUGCUUUGGUGUAUGUGUGAAGAGUGAUUUGUCAAAGUUGCAAUGCCUAUCUUCAUGCAUUUGAGGAGAUGAGGACUGAGUAGGUGGACUUCUGUAGCUGGUUAUUUCCUAGGUACACCUGGAAUGUGGUGGUUCUUCUCUACUUCCAGGUCUUGAACAGUGCUGUAGGAAACAGGAGUCCAAAAAAUACAAAAAUGUGGCUGCAUGUCAGAUUGUGGCAAGCUGAAUGAAUCUAAUUAUAGGCAUAUCACUGCAGCUGUAAACAGAAAACACUGAGAAUAGAACAACUCCACUUGACACUCAAGUGUUUUAAUGCAGCUGGUGUCACUUGGUGACCAACCAGUGUCCACUGGGGUCCACUCACUCUGUCUGAGGCUAUGUCAUUAUUUUGGCAGUAGCUGAGAAAUUGCCACUCCCUACUGCUUGCUGCUUUCCUCGUGCUGCCUUCUGCAUUGGCCUGACAAAAGCAUGGUGGAAAACUGAUUCGGCUGAGAUACUAAUUCCUUUCUGCUGGAGCAUUUCCACAAUCCUGGUUCAGCAUGUAGCAGCACAGGCUCCUGUACUGGUCCACAGCAGAGAAGUCAUAAACUGAUGGCAGGAGGGGUAUUAGCAUGAGGACAGAUACUUUGGCACUGCCACCCAGAGGUUAGUCACUGACCAGUGCUUCUGGGGGACUAUCUCAGCAGCUCAGAAGGUGCACAGAUGAGAUGAAGAAGAAAUGGUUGGGGAAGUGGAGAAGUUCCAAAAAGUUCUUUCCUCAUGAUCUGUCUUUAGAAAUCAAAAUUUCCUUGUCUAAAUCUGGCCAAUCUUCAGUGGUGGCAUCAUGCCUCACAAUGAGACUUUGCCUAAGAAAGUUGUUCUCAUCUUUGUCUUUGUGCUUGCAGAUGUUGAAUACAUUUUGCAGUUCUUUUGUUCAUUGCAUGUAGUCAAAUGAAGACUACAGUUAAAGCUAAGAUUAGGCCAGACUCAGGCAAAUGGCUCAUUGCAUUGGGCAGGAGGUCUAACUGAAUACAAUCAGGCCUGCAACUUGAAAGGUUAGGAUCACUGGAGAUAUUUCCCAAUUUAUUUUGUAUGUAAGAAAAAGCUGCUGACAAUAGGAUUUUAUCCAAAUUUAUCUGGCCAGUCUUAGGGUAGUACAUUAGACACAGCUCUGCUGUUACCAAGAGGUGCUGUGUGUGGGCAGAUCUGAUGUGCCCAAUGAGCUAUGAAGACCCGUGCAUCCAUGCUGUGCAUUCUCUGUCUUCCAGGCAUCAGAAGCCUCCCCUGACUAUCAUGGCCACUCUGAGAUCAUCAGGAGUGGGCCCACAGUGACACUGGACAUGGACUUGCAAGUGAAGGAAUUGAAUAGACUUCUUUUUACCUCCUCACCCCCUACCCCGUUGUAACUGCUCUCAGCUCCUGUUGCACCACAUGCCAACACUGAAUUGCUGUUCUGCUGCUGCUCCACCAGCCAAGAACUUUUCCCUCUCACUGACAAGGCAGCAGCACAGAGCACGUUAGGAACAAAGCUGAAAAGAGGUCAUGUCCCAGUCGAUCACAGUGAGAACACAAAGUGAAGGCCAAGAUGUUCUGCACCUGCUUUCUCUGUGGAGAGAUGCUAGAAAGUACCAAAAGCUGAACUUCCCUUUGACCGCUCUGGUGCGGGCUGGAGAAAUUUCUUAACGUCUUUUCCCUUUGUGGGCUACCAAUCGGUCAGCUCCCCAUGGGAUCAAAACCUGUGGGAUUUGCCAGUGUUUCAUGGCUACGAGAAGCUCACCCACUGCCUUCUGCCUGGACCACAAGAAGUAUUGCUGUAACAUACAGAGGAUCCUGGGAACUGAUGUUUAGCCAUACCUCAACUCUAGUCCACACCAGACCUUAACACAGUUGUGCUUCAAGCCUAGCCAGUGCCAGAAGAAAAGGACACAGAUGCAUGCUGGCCAUUUGCCUUGCCUCCAGGACAGGCUGAAGAUGCGGCUGUGAACUGAGCUGAAGUGAGCAGAGGAGAGCUUUUGCUCAGACUUAGGGCUUUGCUUCUCUUUCACCUUCGAAGUCGUCAGCAUAACUGAUUUUCACACAGACUGAGGACAGAGAGAGUCUUAACUGCCUGCCUAGGGAGAAAGCCCGAAUCAGUCUUGGAAGAAUAUGACUUUCCUCACCCAUAGCAGCUAGGUCCAAAGAACCUAAAUUUUUUAACAAACACAGCAGUUCUCCUAAAACAUCAUGACAGUUCUAGCAGUCGUCACGAUUUUGCAGCAACCAGACAGGUUCUCUUCUGUGCUAGAGGCAUGCGGAAGGAAUAAGAGGGUACAGCAACGUGAACAGGGAGGGGAGAAGCAAAGCCAGCAGGGGGAACAGAAGGAAACAAAGACACGUACUGGAUUACAAAGUUUGUUAAAUACCAAGUUGGAACAAAAUACUUGAAAUUAAAUGCAGGGUGCUAGCAGCACAAAACUGUUGUCUUCCUGCCCAAGUGGUGCCUGUGGAUCCUCUUCCUCGCUGCCUGGCAACUCCGGGCCCCGAGUUAGUGGGUGGAAGGGAAACGCUUCAUCUCAGCAUAACUCCUCUGUGUUUUCUGGAACUGGGACUUCUCUGCUCCAGCAUUUUCUGAUUGGUAAUGAUGUCGGCUCCUCUGCUGUGAAAAUAGGGAAAAGCAGUUGACUCAUUCUACAAUACCACCUUCUAAACACGAACAUAGCUCUGAUACAUGGCUGCUUUAGCAACAGAUCUCAGUAAUGACUGGAGAAGUAGAUAAAAGGUGACACGCUACUGAACAGCCAGAGCAACCUCAAAAACCCUUCUGGGAACUCUACUCCUGGGUCCCCAUGACAAGGGAAAGAAACACUGAGACAACUACCAGCGAGCAAUAAGUUACAGAACUUUUUCCUGCGUCACCUGAGCGCAUCGUGUCCUGGGAAUCAACGACACUGUUUAGAAAAGCAAAACCUGAACUGCUUCUUGCUCAGCUGGUGCCUGAGACAGGGCUCAAGGGGUGAUCUUGGGCAAAGCCAACUUAAUAGGGUUGUUCUGAGAUAUGGCCGUGUUACUUCCUUCUCUUCCUGAGGAGGAGUUCAUCUGUCAGACCGAGGAGAUGCUGCCACAGCCUCGAGCUGCAGCCCAGCCUGUGCUGGGCCUCCCUGCUCUCAGCCCUGACCCUCACCCAUGGACGUAAUGUCCUGGUUGGAUUGCAGACCUGCGCGUCCCCAUGGACUGGCCUGGUGAUUUGCACUCUUGGUUGGGCCCGCUUACUGUCACUGGACCUGUUCUGCUCUUCUUGCUGAGGGCCUGUGGGACUGUUCCCUGGCCCGUGAGGUCAUGGACCCUGCCAGCCUUGCUACAGCUCUCGGAUCGCCCUUGCAGAUGUGCCUUUGCAGAUACCACUCUGCACAUUCAUUGUUCCCCAUGAAGACAACUACAACAGCGUUUAUGAUCAUCUACUAUUACUGCAACAACAGAAGGAACAUCAGGAAGAGAACAGGUGAUUGACUAUACCAAAAACAGAUAGGAAAAAGGUUAUACAGGUCUCAGAAGAAAGAAGAAACCUGGACAACCAAAAGAAAAUCCCCAAGAGAAGCCCAAACAAACUAGGGCUCACCUUUGUUCUCAAUCUGCCAGUUUCAUUGACUAGUUCAGAGCAGCUGUUCUUCAUUUCUCCCUGUAAACUGAGCUGGGACUCCAUCUCUCUCUUCUCAUACACGCUUAAUUCCUUCGUAGCUCUGCUCAGAAGCCUGCUUAACCUACACAGCAAAUUAAUCAAGGAAACAAUGAAGCAAGGAACAACCGGCCUUUUUCACAUACUCUCACGUAAACAGUGCAGACAUGGCUCGCUUCAUCUUCAGCAUGCUUGGUGCAGCAGGAAUUGCUGAGAAAAGCCAGCAUUCCCAUGCCACAGGUGUCUUGGUAUGGUCCAGAUUUUGCCUAAAAGGAGUAAUAAAGUACCUCCUUCCCCUAGAACUGCAGGGCAACCUGUACUUGCAGUUUGUUUGGCAGGUAUUGAAAACUAUAGGCUCAUGCACAGAAGUGCCUUGCAAGAACUAACAGGAGGCUUGAAUUUGCUCACAAACGGCUACGUAUGCCUGUUUUUAUGUUGAAGUCCAAUAAGGCUUGGCUUCUACUCAGGGAUACCUCUUCACCGUACUAAAAAGUCGUACCUCUCACAGUCUUUCUGCAGUUCGAAGUUUAUUCUCAGUUCUUCGCACAGAUGCAAUUCGUCUAUGCAUAUCCCCUCUACCAGCUUCCUCACUUGCUGUCCUUUACCGUCAUGCUUUCAAGAUAGAAAAGGUACAUGACACACAGAGCGUAGGAACAAUAUUGACGUGCAGUACGUGCAGCUAGCGUUCUCCACAGAGAAGCUGCAGUACUUCUCUAUCUGUUGCCUCCUGCAUGACCCCCAAAUGAUGAGUUACUCAUGGCAGGAAUGGCAGGAAUAACAGAGCAAGCCGAGCGUUUACAAACUCGACAAAAAGGUGAACAUGGUUCUCCUGGGUAUUGGCUAGGUGUCUGGAGAGUUUUCUGGGCUCACCUGUUCCAAGAGUUCAGCCUUUGCCCUGCCACUCUGACCAACACGCUCUUCAAGGUGGGAUCCUGACUUCAAUUGCUCUUCCCAUGUGCUGUGCAAUUCCUUUGAUGUCAGAGCCAGCAUGUUCUGCUUUUGCACCUGUGAAAGCAACAGUGGCAAGAGGGAAAACUAAGGUGACCAGGAAGACAAGACUGCAAUAGAAAGCAGUAACUUAAAUGGACAUGGGGAUAAGCUCUCCUCUCCCCAUCCAAGACCUAUGGUUAAGGUUAAUGCGGAGUGUAAAACACACCUCAGGAAGCAUAACCAAGAACAGCAAUUGAAGCUGGUGGAAAGAAUGAAUGCUCUAGAAGUGACAGCUGUAUGUCUUCUGAGAGGAAGAAAAUGCUCUGCCCGCUACUGUACAGCGUCACCUCACCUAAUUAUUCUUUACCUCAGCCCCCUGCAUGGCGGAUGGAACCAGCACCCAUUCACAGGUGGGAAAGGAGGCUAACGUGGUCUCAAGGGCAAGCUGUGACAAAGCUGCUAAGGUAACAUGGAUGUCCCAAGUCCCGUCUCCUCUCUCAGCUUUCAAACACAGGUCUCCCUCCUGCCCACAACAUCCAUCCGAUACACCGUCUGUCGUGGUUUAACCCUGCUAGGCAGCUAAACACCACACAGACACUCGCUCACCUCCCCCCCGCCGGCCUGAUGGGGGUGAGCAUUGGCAGGGUAAGAGUGUGACAACUUGUGGGUUGAGAUAAAGACAUAGGUUUCAUAGGUAAAGCUAAAGCUGCAUGCGCGAGCAAAGCAAAAUAAGGAAUUUGUGCAAUACUUCCCAUCGGCAGGCAGUCUUUCAGCCACUUCCUGGAAAACAGGGCUUCAUCACAUGUAAUGGUUACUUGGAAAGACAAAUGCCCUAUCUCCAAACGUCCCUGAUUCUUACGGCUCCAUCUUUUAUUGGUGAGCAUGACGUCACAUGGGAUCGUCUUUUGGAGUCAGCUGUCCUGGCUGUGCCCCCCUGCUCCAGCUUCCUGUGCACCCCCAGCCUACUUGCUGGAGGGGCAGUAUGAGAAAUGGAAAAGGCCUUGACACUGUGCAAGCGCUGUUCAGCAAUAACUAAAUCAUCCCAGUGUUGUUCUCAUCACAAAGUCAGAACAUAGCACCAGACAAGCUACUAUGAAGAAAAUGAACUAGUACCAAAUCCUUGCCUUUUACAGCAUUAAGUAGGACUUGCUCUAGUAGCAUGGGAAAACUCUCAAAACCAGAAAGGUGGGGAAUGGACCAGGCCGUUUUCUGAGCAGCCUUUAUUCAGAAGAACGCAGGAACUGAGGUCCCCGUGGCUCUCCAGGAAAACCUCAUCUUAACAUUUUCCCGCAGAAACAGUGAACUAGGCUCAGGAAAUCACAAGAAAGGAAGUUUAUGAGCAGCUUACUGAGGC